UCAAGUUAUUAAGGGUGCAGGGCGAAUGCCUUGGCACUAGGAGCCGAUGAAGGACGUGAUAAGCUGCGAUAAGCUUCGGGGAGUUGCACGUAAACUUUGAUCCGAAGAUUUCCGAAUGAGGAAACUCACUUAGAGUAAUGUCUAAGUAUCGUAUAAUGAAUACAUAGUCAUGCGAGGGGAACCCGGGGAACUGAAACAUCUAAGUACCCGGAGGAAGAGAAAGAAAUUCGAUUCCGUAAGUAGCGGCGAGCGAACGCGGAACAGGCCAAACCAGUGAAGUUUUCUUCGCUGGGGUUGCGGACAUAUCAUAACGAAGAGGUAUCGUAGAUGAAGAGAGUUGGAAAGCUCCGCCAUAGAUGGUAACAGCCCAGUACUUUAAACGAGAAGACUUUAGAUAUGAUCCAGAGUACCACGGGACACGUGAAACCCUGUGGGAAGCAGGAGGGACCAUCCUCCAAGCCUAAAUACUACCUAGUGACCGAUAGCGUAUAGUACCGUGAGGGAAAGGUGAAAAGAACCCCGGGAGGGGAGUGAAAGAGAACCUGAAACCCUGCACUUACAAGCUGUGGGAGCACAUUACUUGUGUGACCGCGUACUUUUUGUAGAACGGGCCAACGAGUUACGUUAAGUAGCAAGGUUAAGCACUUAAGGUGUGGAGCCGUAGCGAAAGCGAGUCUUAAAUGGGCGAUUAAGUUACUUGGCGUAGACCCGAAACCGGGCGACCUAUCCAUGAGCAGGUUGAAGCGAAAGUAAAAUUUCGUGGAGGACCGAACCCACGAGCGUUGAAAAGCUCGGGGAUGACUUGUGGAUAGCGGUGAAAUUCCAAUCGAGCCCGGAGAUAGCUGGUUCUCCCCGAAAUAGCUUUAGGGCUAGCCUCAAGCGUAGAGAAACGGAGGUAGAGCACUGAAUGUCCUAGGGGGUAUUGCACUUACCGAAGACUAUCAAACUCCGAAUGCCGUAUUCUUUUGCUUGGGAGUCAGACUAUGGGUGAUAAGAUUCAUAGUCAAAAGGGCAACAGCCCAGAUCGUCAGCUAAGGUCCCUAAAUGUACGUUAAGUGGUAAAGGAUGUGGGAUUGCACAGACAACCAGGAUGUUGGCUUAGAAGCAGCCACUCAUUUAAAGAGUGCGUAAUAGCUCACUGGUCGAGUGAUUCUGCGCCGAAAAUUUCCGGGGCUAAAACUUACUACCGAAGCUACGGCAUCAUUAUGAUGGGUAGGGGAGCUUUCUAUGCGGCUUGAAGCAUGACCGUAAGGACAUGUGGACUGCAUAGAAGUGAGAAUGUUGGCAUGAGUAGCGAGAUGUGGGUGAGAAUCCCACAGGCCGUAAACCCAAGGUUUCCAGGGGAAGGUUCGUCCGCCCUGGGUUAGUCAGGACCUAAGCCGAGGCCGAAAGGCGUAGGUGAUGGACAACAGGUUGAUAUUCCUGUACCACCAAUAACCGUUUGAGAAAUGGGAUGACACAGUAGGAUAAGCUAACCGCACUGUUGGUUAUGUGCGGGCAAGUAUUGAGGCAGUUCCGAUAGGCAAAUCCGUCGGAAUAAUGCUGGGGUACGAUGCGGAGCGAAAUUUAGUAGCGAAGUAGCUGAUUUCACACUGUCGAGAAAAGUCUCUAUCGAGGUUAAAGGUGCCUGUACCGCAAACCGACACAGGUGGGUGAGGAGAGUAUCCUAAGGCCAGCGAGAGAACUGUUGUUAAGGAACUCGGCAAAAUGACCCCGUAACUUAGGGAGAAGGGGUGCCUUCGAAAGAAGGCCGCAGAGAAUAGGCCCAAGCGACUGUUUACCAAAAACAUAGGUUUCUGCUAAGUCGCAAGACGAUGUAUAGGAGCUGACGCCUGCCCGGUGCUGGAAGGUUAAGGGGAUCUGUUAGAGCAAUCGAAGCAGUGAACUUAAGCCCCAGUAAACGGCGGCCGUAACUAUAACGGUCCUAAGGUAGCGAAAUUCCUUGUCGGGUAAGUUCCG
rnacentral:rRNA from 1 species